UCACUUCCUGGGCGGAUACCUACUAAGUGGCACAGUGACAGGCAAACAAAACAAGGCGCCAGAGACCCUCAGCGCGAACGGCUAUGAGAAGCCAGAGAGAGGGCUGGGGCUGCCUGACGGGCGUCCGGGAGCGGCGGGUCCAGGUGCUUUGCUGCUGGACACCCAUGUCAACUGCCUUCCACGUACAAAUUGGACCCCCCAGUUAUGGUCUCCUCAGUGCCUGUUGCUGAAAGGGCUGCUGCUGACACACCGGUAAACAGUCUCCGCCUUGUUGGCCAGAAGUUCUGUUAGAAUG